rnacentral:misc_RNA from 1 species
GCAGUCUUGCCUCUCUCAAGUUGGAAACCCUCUCUCUCUCAAUUGUCAAACAAUCAAAUUCUGAGUUGUAAAGCUUCAGAAGUUAUGGGAAAGGACUCCAAGUCUAAGGAUUCUGGAAGCAAGGGAAAGGGUAAACAGGCUGCUGGUGGAAGUGAGGAUAAUGCUUCGAAAGGAAAAGGAAAAGGUGGGAAAGGAGAUGGCCUUGGAACCUGCACAUAUGUUAAAGCAAGGCAUGUCUUAUGUGAGAAGCAGUCAAAGAUUAAUGAAGCAUACAAAAUACUACAGGAAGGCUGGCUGAACAACGGAGAUAAAGUUCCACCAGCUGAGUUUGCUAAGGUAGCUGCAACUUACUCGGAAUGCCCCUCAGGAAAGAAAGGUGGGGACCUGGGAUGGUUUCCACGUGGCAAGAUGGCAGGCCCAUUUCAGGAAGUUGCCUUCAAUACCCCUGUUGGAGCUACCAGUGCACCCUUUAAAUCAACACAUGGAUACCAUUUCAUUUUAUCUGAAGGGAGGAAGAACUGAAAUCUCUGAGCAUUUAGAUAGACAUGGGAUAGUGGCAGUUGUAGCAGAGAACCGACUAUUUGGUCAUCUGAUACUUAUUGCUGAGACUAUCUUCUGGUUAAGUUAAUAAAAUACAACUGCUUUGUGGAUUGCAAGUGUAAUGAUAAAACAAGUAAACAUGUCAAUGAUUGGAUCAAAGCAUCUUACUGGCUCAUGUGUGUUAUUUUGAAGUCUAUGAUCUCGUACUCAUUGAACUACCACAUUGUGAGAAUGAGUUACAAAGGGUGAAUUGUUU